CGAUGCGGUCCAGCUUGAGGCCGAAGCAGCCCUUGCCCAGGCCCUUCUUGUGCAGGCCCUUGUGCCGGCGGCCCGGCGGGUCCUGCAGCAGCCGCGCCCAGCCCGCCCGCGGCCGAGCCUCGCCCCGCGCCUCCCGCGCCUCCCGCGGGCCCGAGCCGCCGCCGCCGCCGCUGCGCUCCUUCUCCCGCUCCUUCUCCCGCUCCGCCGCCGCCGCCGCCUCGGGCGGACCCGCUGCCGCCGCCGCCGAGCCGCGGGAGGCCUGAGGCGGGGGGGAGAAGCACCCUCAGCGGGACGGGGAGAAGGAGGAGCGCCGGGGUGCUCCUCCGGCCGUACCUUCUGUGGGAGCUGAGACGCCGGCUUCGCCUCCAGCCUGACGGAGAGCAGAGCGAGUAAAAGUCCACCAGCCAGCAAGGAUACCUUCCCCCCAGAAAGGGGGGUCUGGCAGCAUUUCAUCUGCAGUCUGGAGGUCCCAACAUGAGCCCAGGCUUGUCAGUUUUGGCGCUGAGCAUCCCUUUGGGAAGAUGUACUGCCCAAAGAACCUGAUUAACACUGAUGUAAACGAGCACCGGGCGGGCCCUUACUCCUCACUGAAACCGCAAGCAGAGGCGCCAAAGCCUUCGUAAGCAGGGCACUCCCAGCCAACGAGCCAUGCAGUGCUCUCACCUCGGCCGAGGUGCCGCAACACGUUCCAGCCUCCGACAUUGGGGAGCAGCUACCAGUUACUGCCUGGGGGAAGAUGGUGAGAUAAUCCUGCACUGUGGGAAAGGGAAAAAUCUGCCCAUGGACCUGCUCCCUUUCAGAAAGGCCAUGAGUUGCCAUGGAGAGGCAUAGAAGCAGCAGCAAGGCAACGCUCCUUUUUGCUUGGCAGCCACUAGGCUGGUGUGAAUAGAAGAUGGAGCCAAAGGCAAGACUGAAGCAGUCCAGUCCUUCCCUAGGAGGGAUUGCAUUUGGUGAGAUCCUGCAUGAGACACCGGCUUGCUGCCACAUUUGCACAUGGCCUCUUUGAAAGGGUGUGAAGGAUGGGCACGCAGCUAGUUCCAGCCACACAGGAAUCUGCUGCGUGCCUGUGGGGCAACAUGAGGUUGACAUG
rnacentral:lncRNA from 1 species